rnacentral:rRNA from 1 species
GCACUUUAAGCAGUGAAGAAGACUCCGUGGUUAAUACCCACGGACGAUGACAUUAGCUGCAGAAUAAGCACCGGCUAACUCUGUGCCAGCAGCCGCGGUAAUACAGAGGGUGCAAGCGUUAAUCGGAAUUACUGGGCGUAAAGCGAGCGUAGGUGGCUUGAUAAGUCAGAUGUGAAAUCCCCGGGCUUAACCUGGGAACUGCAUCUGAUACUGUUAGGCUAGAGUAGGUGAGAGGAAGGUAGAAUUCCAGGUGUAGCGGUGAAAUGCGUAGAGAUCUGAAAGAAUACCGAUGGCGAAGGCAGCCUCCUGGCAUCAUACUGACACUGAGGCUCGAAAGCGUGGGUAGCAAACAGGAUUAGAUACCCUGGUAGUCCACGCCGUAAACGAUGUCUACUAGUCGUUGG